CAACAAAUCGGCCAACAAGUUGGGGAAGGUGGUGCAGUCAUAGGGUUAAUGAUAAUGUGUUGUAUAUAUUGGGCCUUCUCUCAAGGAACACCUGCCCGUGUACUUACUUUUAGCCAAUUUCAAUGCCUGCAAUUAUUUCCCCCAAAAUGGCCAUAUUUGAUGCUUAUGAAUUGAAGGGUAGGAGGGACGGCAAUAAUAAAUAGAGAUAGAGGGAGCUAAAGAACCGUCUUUUACGUAUUUUGGAGGCAAUUAGAAACGGUAUUCCUGAGCUUCCUAAGGUCUCUGGUAUAUGAUCAUGGGAUAAUGGAUUCCUGAAGGCAUAGCUACAUAUUGUACUGAAUGUACCUCACGUCAACAGUACACAGCUUUCAACGACUUUUUGUGUACUGUGGAGCACAGAUGUAAAAUGAAAAGGAGCACAGAUAUGUAAAGGAGCAUGGCCCUGCCUCUAUUUCAUUACCACAUUUCAGCAGCAACCAAAUUGCAAUCAGAUUUUAUUUGCUAAUUUGUCAUUACGCCCUGAAUUGAUAAUCAUCUUAAUGGUUGUUAGCUCCAUCCGGCAUAUUGUUCACACUUAGAUAGAUAUACAAGUGUAAACAAGAAGCAAUUAACAUUUUCUUAUUGCACUUAUUCACCUUAAAGAGCCACUGUUGCACAGCAAUAAAUAAAUAGAGGCUCGAUUACUAAUAAUAACGAUAAUUAUUAACAAUAGCAAAAUGAUUAAUCUGAAGUUUGAAACUGUCAAGAAUGCAAAGGAACCAUUCAUUUUUCAGUCGUCUUUAUGGAUAACUUUUUAAUUGACAUUUCUGUAGCAUUGUUGUUUAAUGAAGGACAUAAAAAUCGAGGCAUCCGCUCUGCCACGAGAUUCAAAUCAUUCUUGAAGGAAUUGGUUUUUGCUAGAAAAGGCUCGUGCUGUGUUUCUAAGAUCAAGUGAAAACGAAAUCCUUUGAAGGACAUAUAGGUAAUGGCAAAUAAUGCAACAAGAAGCUUCCUCAUUUUUGUGGUAUUGCUUACUGUCACAAUUCCCUGGUGCAAAACUCGCUACAUCGAAGAAGAUGAGCUGUAUCAAGAAGAUGAACUUUUUGAGACUUUUCAAAACAGCAAGUGUUUUAAUGCCCUAUUUGCGCCAUGCAAGAAAGAUAGCGACUGUCACAGCGAAAAGUACUGCCAAUUGGUUUGCAAGAAGCAUUCUAAACAUUGUUAUUUCAAUACAAGUCCAAGAGGAUUACCACAAGUAUCGCAAGUGAAAUAACUGAAUCUUGGAACAAUUUUGUACAUAAUUACUGUUAAUCUGUAUUUUUAAAGAUAAAAUUUUUCUUUGUAGUUAAAAGAACUUUGAAUUCUUUUAACGACUUUAUAAAUGGUUGUUGUCUUCGAAUGACUUUCUCAAUCUGACUGCCAG